rnacentral:rRNA from 1 species
CCUACGGGUGGCAGCAGUGGGGAAUAUUGCACAAUGGGGGAAACCCUGAUGCAGCGACGCCGCGUGAAGGAUGAAGUAUUUCGGUAUGUAAACUUCUAUCAGCAGGGAAGAAAAUGACGGUAUCUGACUAAGAUGCCCCGGCUAACUACGUGCCAGCAGCCGCGGGAAUACGUAGGGGUCAAGCGUUAUCCGGAUUUACUGUGUGUAAAGGGAGCGUAGACGGUAUGGCAAGUCUGAUGUGAAAACCCGGGGCUCAACCCCGGGACUGCAUUGGAAACUGCCGAUCUAGAGUGUCGGAGAGGCAAGUGGAAUUCCUAGUGUAGCGGUGAAAUGCGUAGAUAUUAGGAGGAACACCAGUGGCGAAGGCGGCUUGCUGGACGAUGACUGACGUUGAGGUUCGAAAGCGUGGGUAGCAAACAGGAUUAGAUACCCUAGUAGUC